rnacentral:lncRNA from 13 species
AUUUUUUCAACUUUAUUGAUAAGAAUAACAUAAAAGGCAUGUAAAAAUAGUGGAAAGUAUAAGACAUCUUGUGGAAGUAUAAAGAAAAGUACACAGAAUUAUAGUGGGAGGAAAAUAUUCUAUGUUGCUAAACAUUGGCAAGACCCUGACUGAAAGAUUGUACUAGUUCAGACCUCUUCAAUUACAAAAUAGUAAUUACUUUUGUUUUGCCUUUGUUUAAAGCCCCCAUGCAGAGAUGCUUAAUAGAAACAUUGUUCUUUGGAGAGCACUGCUGAGAGUUGAAGAGUCAAUGGUUAAAAGAAGGUUAACCAGGGAUGCAGCAAGAACCAACAGAACCAGGCUGUAUUCACAUCUUACAGGCUAAAUGGAUGUCUUCUGAGAGCCUGAAAAUAAUGACUGCAUCUCUGAACCAUGGCUUGUGAGCAGGACGAGACAGCAGGCACGUUCAUCCAACAUCUCUUGCUCCUGGUGCAAGCUCACUGAGUAAGGACAGCAGCAGUACAGAGCGUCAGCAGAAACAGGGGACACAGGGUGAAAGGUGAGAUAUGGAUGUGGAGCGGGAGGUACCAGAGUCUGGUACCAAAGACCCUGGCAACACAGGCUUCAGCCACAAACCAGCA